CAACACGAAAAUUCAUGACAGAGUCAUUUUAGGGUUCAUAAGGCCGUUUUGCUACUCUCUGCCACUCUGAGACCUUGAAAGCACGAUAAUUUUGACUCUCGGACCUGGGUUUUGUCAUUCUUUCCUCUAUAAUUGAAAUCUCUGAUGCUACUCCUCGAUUUUGAUAUGGGACUCCAUGGAAGCUUGAACUGAAGAUUGCAUCCAUGCAAAUUGGAUUUAGGCAGGGAAUCCUUAUUUCUGGAAGUUGUUUAUCAGUUCAAGCUGUGUUCUGAGUAGCUGAGAUGUUUGGUCAAGGCAAUUAUGGUUCUCAGUUUGGACAGGGUCCUCAAACACCUGUGCCCCCUUUCCAGCAUCACCUUCCAGCUCCUCCACUGCCACCUCCACCACCGCCGCCGCAGCCUCCAUUCCAACAAGGCCUUCCAGCAGCUCCAUCCCCUCCUGCAAUUCAGCAAGCUCCUACAGCUGUUCCUUCGGUAGUUCAGCGGGGCCCUCCUUUGUAUCACCAUAGUCCUCUCCCCCAUCCGCCUGCAGUUCAGCAAGGUCCACCCCCUCAAAUUCCACCAUCUGGACUGGUCAAUGCAGGUCCAACUUACUUACAUCCAUCCCAAUAUUCUUCACAUAUAGGAACCACGAAUGUGCAUCAGAUGCCUCCCCCUUCACUUGCUCAUCCUACUGGUCCUCCUGUUGCUGGCUCUUCUCACCCGGAAAUGUUACAGGGCCCACCGCCUCCUAGAGUGCUACCUCCCCCUCCUUCACAAGGACUAACCUUCCACAGAAUGCCAGGUUAUCCGCCGCCGGCUGGUGUUAUGCCGGGCAUUCAACAUAUGCCCCCACCUGCACCUCCCCCACCCACUUCUAGUUUUUUCUCUCCAGCUCCAUUUGGAUCUAUUGUACAUCCAACGCAUCGAGAUUCUCAUAUACCUUCUGUGGCUCCCCCACCACCGCCACUGCUACCUCCACCUCUCCCUCCACCUCCACCACCACCCUCUUCUCCGCCACCACUUCCGCCUUCUCCACCACCCUCAACCUCUCCCCCAGUUUCCUCAAGAACAACAACUUCAACUUCUGUUCUUUCUGCUUCUGAGUUCCCUGAUUCUGGUCCUAGUUCCAACAAAUUUUGUGUCUCCGAGGUGGUGGUUUCCAAGUCUAUGGCUGAUGACCAUCUGAACUGUGGUGGUGGACCUAGCCAUGUGGGGGGUACUGCAGUGGAAGAUGGUCUAUCAUCCAGGAACAGUAUGGUAUUGGACCUUCCUCCACCUCCUCCAAAGCCAGCGGAGGGACAAAUUGUUCAAAAGAUGGAAGUUUUAUGUGAGUUUAUAGCCAAGCAUGGUCCUGGUUUUGAAGAUAUGGCUUGUGAAAAGGAGUCUGGGAAUCCAGAGUUUAAAUUUUUGUUUGGUGGUGAGCCAGGAAGUGAAGCUGCAAUUGCACAUGAAUAUUUUUUGUGGAUGAAAAGGAAAUGCAAUUUGGAAUGCAAAUGUCCUGAAGGGCAGGAUCAUAGUAAUUCACUUUCAAUUCCUUAUUAUGAGUUUUCAAUGCAAGCCAGUAGGAUGAUGGAUGCAGGUGUAUCCCAUUCGCCAGCUGAUUCUGACAUGGACAUGGAAGAUGACAUCAUCCAUCCUGACAAAAACCAGGGGGUUUAUGACUCAUUCGAGGAUCAAAAUCAUGAAUCUGUUUUUAUCCAUGACAAUAAUGAUGUAAAAGAGCCAUUGCAUGCAUAUCAGACUCCAGCAGAAUGCCGUCCAACCAAGGAUGUGUUAUGUGGUAAAGUAUCAUACUCUGGUUCUGGAGGAUUGGAAGAACAUGGCAAAGAGCCAGAAAAUUUUACGGAUCAGGAUUACAUGACCACUGGAAUGUCAUUUUCCAGUGUAGAUGGUGUAGUUGUGAAUUCCGUUCAAGCUGCUGAAUGCCCCUUAGACAGCUACGUCGGGAAAUCUGCUACUCCUAUCCUUGAUGAUUUAAGUCCAUCUAAUGGUGCAACUGCUGCUGCAGGUGUCAAGUCUGAAACAUUUAACAGUCCACCUAUCAAAGGAGGCAGCCCAUUUAGACUUUUACAGGAUUAUGCUUCUGAUGACAGUUCAGACAAUGACGAUGGCCCUUGUCUUGAAGACGUAAGCUCUCAAAUAGUUUCACCGUCAGUAGCUACAAAUGGUGCUGCAAGUUUACAGAAAGAUUUGGGGUGUAAAAUUGAAACAGGUUCUGGAUCCAAGAGUUCUACUGGGACUGAAAGGGGGCUUGAGCUGUUCCCUGACUCUGUUGUGGCAACUUCCCAUACCAUGUCGUUUGAAGCUCUGAAAAAUUCUCCAGAAUCACAAAGCAAUGUUGAGGAAAAUGUUAUUCCAUCUACUGAAAGUGAAAAAGCUAAUGAAAAUGAUAACUGCAAAAAUCAAGAACCUGUUGUUGGUGCUUAUCAUGAGGCUCAUCAGAAAAAGGAUGCCUUGGGAGGUGAUCUUGAUGUUGCUGCUGAGAGUCUUAAGUCUGAAGAGGAAGACAUUAAGGGCGCCUCAAGUUUGUUGAAAGUUGAUGAGUUUGGGAGAUUGGUCAAAGAAGGUGCUAAUGACAGUGAUUCUGAUGAUUCACGGUAUAUUAGUAAGCAUGGUAAAAGAGGCCGAAGUUGGAGCCGGAGCCGGAGCCGGAGCCGGAGCCGGAGCCGGAGCCGGAGCCGGAGCAGAUCUCCUCAAGAUAGGAGGAGGAGGAGGAGGAGGAGUCCAUGGCGAAGAAAGGAUAAGCGAAGUCGAUCUCCCAGCUGGUCUCCCAAGAAACGAAGAAGCAGGAGCAGAUCACCUGUUUUUCGGGGCGGUGGUGAGUUAGGUAGUGACAAAACAAGAUGGAACAAAGGACAGGUUCCAGGCUGUUUUGAUUUCUUACGAGGCAGGUGCUACCGUGGUGAUUCAUGUCGGUUUCUGCACCAGCAUGAUUUUGACAGGAAUGAUGGAUUGAGGCGAUUUAGAAGCAAAGAGCAGCAUCUGGAAGUCCCUUCUGGUUCAAAGAAUUCUGGUUUCCAUAGAGAUUCUAACAAAGGAUCUUUCCAAGAGCAUGAUGAAGUUAAGAGCGAAGAGAUGCAAUGCCUUAAAGAAAUGCCUGGUAGUAGCUGGGUUUCACCAAAAGAUGGGAUUGUUGAUGAUAAAAGAGAGGAGUCAUUUGAUUUAGAUCAAAAUGGUCGAUUAUUAGGUGCUGAUGUUGGUAAAUCUGACAAUUCUAGAGAGGCUGCUGCCGAAGUGCCGGGAACAGAAGAAUUUCAGGAUGAGCCUGAGAAAUCUGUUGGUCACCUCCCUCGUAUGGAGGAGAAUCACCAGGAACCAAUGGACAUCCUGCAGUCACUUGUAGUUGAGGGCUCGCAAUGUGUAACUGAUGCUGAUACCAUGAAAUCUCCUGGUGAUACUGCUCAACACAUAAUUUCUUCUGUUAACAGUACUGCAGCUCAUCAAGCUCAAGCCAAUCUCUCUGCUCAGUUGCUUCAGAAUGCUGAUAAUCAACCACAGCAAAUGGAGGUUUCUUCUAUUUCAGAUUUUUUACCCAAUCAAACAUCAAGAGGUUUCCCAAAUCAGUUUCCAACCAGUGAACCUUUUCCGAGUUUUUCAUAUCGUCAUUCCCAACAGCUCCCUCCUCCCCCGCCUCUCCCUCCCCCACCUCCUCUCCCUCCCCAGCUUUCACAAAGUGUUGCUGCCUCACAUGGGCCUCAGCCAGCAAGACAUUAUAGCAUGAUGCCAUCGACUGUGAGCUUCCCAUUUCCAUCUGUUCCUGGGAAAAAUCUUCAUUCAUCUUGGACUUCCCUGCCGCCGCCGCCGCCACCACCACUACCGCUGCCACAACGACCACCAUAUGCUAAUGAUCUAACUGUAAAUGCAGCAGCUGCCAUGCCUGUUGCUCCUUUACAGUUUCAGCAGAAUCACCUACCUCCAAGGAAUGAAUUUGUUUCCCAGAAUUUUGGGAGGCCUUAUUCAACUGAACUGCCCAUUCACUCUCAGGUUGCUGAGCUGGCUCAUCGAGCAUAUCCCUCAAUGCAGGAGCCUCAUCGACUUCCUUUGCAUGUGGAGGAUGUCAAUGCAAAGCAUAUACCACAUAGUAACCCAUUGAGUCUACCAUUUGUUGGUCCAAGUCAUAUGAUAGAUGAUCAAUUUUCGCAAUAUCCUGUACAAGGUUUAAUUCCUUCAAGUUCUUUUGCUGGGAGCAGUUUGCAAUCUCAAACCGUGCCUUUUUCAAAGGAAUCACCUGGAAAGAAAAUGCAAUCUUUUCCUGGUGAAAAUUUGCCUCCAGGUGAACUUUUUAAGUCAGCUGCUGAGCGCCAUUCUUAUUCGCAGCAGCAACAAUCACCUUUUGGUCUGCACCCUGCUGCUGAUAGUGUUUCUGUACAUGUUGGUGUGGCCUCAAGAUAUCGAUCAGAUCUGGAAAAAAAUCAGCUAUCUCAGAUACCUGAUUUUGGGGGAUCAAGAUUUUCUGCUCACUAUAAUCCUUAUGCAUCAACUUUUGAGCAGCCAUUGGACUCAAAAUUCAGUUCUAAUGCUUUUAAGCAAGAAAAGGACCCACUUUACAGUAAUAAAUUCGACAGCCACAAUGUUCAUCUUGAUGGCCGAGGUGUUGGCAGUUUCAUAUCAAGACAGAUGACUUCACCACCAACUUCUGCUAGGGUCAGUGGGCAGGUCCUGCCAAGAUCAGGAGGUGAUCAGUAUGAUCCACUUUUUGAUAGCAUUGAGCCAUCUUCAAAUGCACUAAGGAAAUUUGACCAUGCUCAAAAGCGGGAGUCUACGAAUGAAUCGGAUGUCAUGUUAAGGUUUAGUGACUCCCAUAAGCCAUUGGAUGUGGAAGAGGACAAUGAGCAGGAGGUUGGAGCUGUUGCAGGCACAGUGUCUCCUGAAAAUGAUGAAUAUGGUGAGACAGCAGAUGCAGAGGUGGGUGCUGUGGAGAAUGGAAGCCCAAGCAAUCCAAUUGAUUUGGCUAACACGGCAGCUGGAGAGAUUGAGAUUGAUCAGAUUAAGUCUCCAGGGAAGAGCAAGAAAAGCAAGGAUUCAAGAUCAAUGAAGCUUUUUAAAGUUGCCCUUGCGAAUUUUGUGAAGGAAGUUCUGAAACCGUCAUGGCGACAGGGUAAUAUGAGCAAGGAAGCAUUUAAGACCAUUGUCAAGAAGACUGUUGAUAAGGUGUCUGGAGCUAUGAAGAACCACCAGAUACCCAAAUCUCAGGCAAAGAUAAAUCACUACAUUGAUUCAUCACAACGGAAACUUACUAAACUUGUUAUGGGUUAUGUUGAUAAGUAUGUCAAAGCAUAGAAAUGGAUAUUAGGGGUAAUUCCAAUCUGCAUGGUUUAUCAGAUCUGUAUCUAACCACUCUGCCGUUUUUUCUUAAUUGGAUCCAAGCACUUGACUGUGACUGGGCUGUGGAACUGAUGAGUUUUUAUUUGCAUUCUGCGAAGAAUGGAUUCAAUUGGCAUUGGGAGGAUUUGUCAGUAUUUGCUGUGGUUGUAAAAGUUUGUACCAGCUAAUACACAGAAGAUAUAAGGUCUAGGUGAAGGUGAAUGAAUAUAUUGAGAAGGAUUUGUAGACUUCCAACCUCAGCAAAGCUCUGAGGUUGCUCCAAAACAAGUGGGAGGCUAGAAAGGAAAUAUUUUUUGAAAAAUGUUUAAAAUACAUGAGAAAAGUUGAAAAAGAAGAAAAGAAACUGAUGACCCUAUUCAGCAGCCCUUUGGAAAAGAUGGCUUUCUGAUUUUGAGUGUUGUGAUUUCUGUACUCCCUCAAGCACAAUAACUAACUCCCUCAGGCCAGUGGCACACCCGUUCUAUAUAUGUUCAUAGUUUGGAUACAUGUUUAAACACCAUACCGUAUUUCCCAGUAGUCCCAUUUUCAUGUUAUCAACUUAGGAGUGUCAACGGCUUUUGGCAGUGACCAACUCAAGGAUUAGUCUGGAAUGAUUUCUACAUUACUUUGAUGAACCAAGACUGGAGACUGAAGAAUGCUAAAUUGCAUCUAGUAUUUGGGUUCUACAUCUAAUGUGCUCUUCUAAUGGGUUCUUAUGUUGUUUUCAGUGAUCUCUUGAGAAAGGAAGGGCAGCUAUAAUCUUUUGGGUUGCAUCUCUUGUAAAAUGUUUAUGGUUCUCUUCCAAAUUUUCGGAUGGAUUAUUCUUAAAAGCAGUAUAUUUCAUAAUCCUUCUCUCUCCUUGUCAAUCAAUUGGCAAAUUGAAUAUGAUUUCAGCAUGGUAAAUUGAUGAGGAAAUGUGGAAUUAAGAAAUGUCUUUAGGGUGCAUUUGACGCUCCAUGUGUUUAACUAUAGCAAGUCACUGAUGUAUAUAGGCGUGCGUGCGCGCACAAAAGGUUUCAAGAAUGGCAUGGGCGCAAACCUCUAUUGCGCGCUUUGCAUGCAUCGCAAUUGGAUCCAUGCACCUUGCAUCCAAAGUCUCUCUAAGCCAUAGGUCCCAUUCCCACUAUUCUCUUUGAUCCAAAAGGACUCUUAGGCCCUGUUUUGGUGAAUGCAGUUGUCAUUUUUCGAGUUUUACGUUUUAAUUGCAAUGCCUACAAUUUGAAAUAAAAAUGUGGCACUUUGGCUUGGUGGAUUAUGUAUUGCAUUGCAAGUGCAAGCUUUGUUACAAAAAAAGAUGUAAUGGAGGUGAGGUGAAGGAGUGGAAAGUAGCUUUAGGUCAUGUUACUAAUGUCACUUUCCUUAAGAGUGUAUUCGCCCCAUAUAAUAAAUGCUGUGCAACAGAUUUAAGCGAA